UACGGGGGGUGCGAGCGUUGUCCGGAAUCACUGGGCGUAAAGGGCGCGUAGGUGGUUUGAUAAGGGUGUGGUGAAAGUCCGGGGCUCAACCCCGGAUCUGCCGUGCCGACUGUCAAACUCGAGGACUGUAGAGGCAGACGGAAUUCCGGGUGUAGCGGUGGAAUGCGUAGAGAUCCGGAAGAACACCAGUGGCGAAGGCGGCCCGCUGGGCAGUGGCUGACGCUGAGGCGCGACAGCGUGGGGAGCAAACAGG
rnacentral:rRNA from 1 species